AUGGCAGAGUCGCUGCUUCUCCCUCUGGUGCGCGGUGUGGCCAGCAAGGCUGCAGGCACACUCGUGGAGACGGUGACCCGCAUGUGUGGCCUUGACGACGACCGCCGAACGCUAGAGCGUCAGCUGCUAGCCAUCGAGUGCAAGCUGGCCAACGCCGAGGAGAGGAGCGAGACAAAUUGCUAUGUCGAGAGCUGGAUGAAGGAGCUCAAGUCCGUCGCCUACGAGGCCGACGACGUGCUCGACGACUUCCAGUACGAGGCACUGCGCCGCCAGUCUAAGAUUGGCAAGUCCACUACCCGCAAGGUACUUGGCUACAUCACGCACCGCAGCCCAUUGCUCUUCCGGUUUGAGAUGAGCAAGAAACUCAAAAACAUCCUUGAGAAGAUCAAUAGGUUGGUUGAGGAGAUGAACAAGUUUGGUCUGGAGAAUUCUGUCCAUAGGGAAGAGCAGCAACAUCCUUGGCGGCAGACGCACUCCAAACUGGACAACUCUACAAAAAUAUUUGGAAGAUAUGAUGAUAAGGAGGUGGUAGUGAAGUCGCUGCUAGACCAGCAAGAAGAGCAGAAGGUGCAGGUGCUGCCCAUCUUUGGGAUGGGAGGUCUUGGCAAGACAACUCUCGCUAAGAUGGUGUAUAAUGACCAAGGUGUCCAGCAACAUUUUCAGUUGAAGAUGUGGUACUGUGUGGCCGACAACUUUGAUGCCAUUGCUCUAUUGAAAUCUAUCAUUCAGUUGGCUCAAAAUAAAAGAUGUGAGAUGUCUGACACCAUUGAGCUGUUGCAAAAGCAACUUGAGGAAGUCAUUGGCCAAAAAAGGUUUAUACUUGUGCUUGAUGAUGUGUGGAAUGAAGAUGAGAGGAGCUGGGAGGAUGUCCUGAAGCCUCUUUUGUGUUCUCUUGGUGGACUAGGAAGCGUAAUAGUCGUCACAACUCGAAGCCAGAAAGUGGCCUCUAUAAUGCAGACCCUUCGACCCCAUAAGCUAGCAUGUCUGAGUGAACAAGAUUCUUGGGAAUUGUUUGCACAGAAAGCAUAUAGCAACGGAGUAGAGCAGGAGCAAGCAGAGUUGGUCAGCAUUGGCAGACGUAUUGUCAACAAAUGCAGGGGGUUGCCUCUUGCUCUCAAGACAAUGGGUGGAUUGCUAAGUUCAUAUCAACAAGUACAAGAAUGGAAGGCCGUUGAAGAAAAUAAUAUUGGGGAUAAUGUUAGAGGCACAGAUGAGAUCAUGUCUAUAUUAAAGUUGAGCUACAGACACCUAUCAUCUGAAAUGAAGCAAUGUUUUGCAUUUUUAGCAGUUUUCCCCAAGGACUGUGAGAUGGACAAGGACAUCUUGAUCCAGCUAUGGAUAGCAAAUGGUUUUAUUCAAGAGAAGGGAACAAUGGAUUUGACACAAAGAGGAGAAUUCAUUUUUGAUGAGCUGGUUUGGAGGUCCUUCCUCCAAGAUAAGCAAGAGUUCAGACAACAUUUGAGUAUAGGAAGUUAUGUGAGUAUUAACUGCAAAAUGCAUGAUUUAAUGCAUGAUCUAGCAAAAGAUGUCACAGAUGAAUGUGCAAGUAUAGAAGAACUGACUCAGCAAAAAGCAUUGUUAAAAGAUGUUUGUCACAUGCAAAUGUCAGAUACUGAAUUGAAACCAAUCAGUGGGUUAUGCAAAGACAGAACAUACCUCCGCACUUUAUUAGCUUGUUCAGAAUCACACAAGGAUUUUAAAGCGUUGCUACAGGUAUCAGCCUCACUAAGAGCAUUGAAGUGCUUUGCUUCUUCAUUUGUCGUUUGCAAGGCCAUAAAUGUAAAACAUUUACGGUAUCUUGACCUCUCUGGGUCUAACAUCGUUAGCUUGCCAGAUUCAAUAUGCGAGUUAUAUUACUUGCAAACACUGAGGCUCAUAGAAUGCCAGAAGCUGCGGUGGUUACCAGAAGACAUGGCAAGACUAAGAAAGCUCAUGCAUCUUUAUCUUUCUGGUUGUGGUAGUCUCGAAAGUAUGUGUCCCAACUUUGGUCUACUGAACAACCUUCACAUAUUAACAACAUUUGUUGUGGAUACUGGAGAUGGCCUUGGAAUAGAGCAACUCAAAGACAUACAACACCUUAGCAAUAGGUUGGAGUUGUUCAACCUGAGCAAGAUAAAGAGUGGGGGGAAUGCAAAAGAAGCCAAUCUCAGUCGAAAGCAAAAUCUAAGUGAGUUAUUGUUCUCUUGGGACCAAGAAAGGUAUGAUAAGCCUAAUGAUGUGGAAGAAGUGCUCCAGUGUUUAGAACCUCAUAGUAAUAUCCAAAAGUUCGAGAUACGUGGAUAUGGUGGCCUACAAAUAUCACAAUGGAUGAGAAAGCCUCAGAUGUUUAACUCCUUGAGAGAACUCGCAAUGUCCAACUGCCCAAGGUGCAAGAGUAUACCUGUAGUAUGGCUCUCGGUCUCUCUAGAGACACUGUCGUUACGGAGGAUGGAUAAUCUGGCCACAUUAUGUAAUAAUUUUGAUGUGGAAGCUGGAGGACGCAUUACCCCUCUACAAAUGUUCCCAAGGUUGAAGAAGAUGGUGUUGUUUGAGUUAGCAAGCCUGGAGAUAUGGGUACAAAAUAGUGGGUGGGAGCCUAUCGACAGCUUGGUAACGUUCCCGAUGCUUCAAGAGCUAAGGAUCGAAAAUUGCCCCAAGCUUGCAAGUAUUCCAGUGAUCCCCAUUGUCAGCGAGUUGACAAUAGUUGGGGUUCACAGUACUGCAGUGGGUUUAGUUUUUACGAGGAUAGAUUUGGGCUCCUGGCCAUUUCUUGACAGCUUAACCCUUGGGUCUCCAGAAAACAUGCCCAUGUUGUCUCUAGAGACCCAAAAUCAAAGAUAUCUUGGAAAAAUGAACCAUUGGAGUCUAGUUUCCCAAAGUCAAAGAUCUCUUAAAAAGCUUAAGCGUUUGACUCUGGAAGGGCCCAACAGCUUGGUCACAAGCUCCGGAUCGUACAGAUCACAACUUAUGUUUCAGAAAUGCUUUCAAUUCGUGGAAGAUCUGACGAUUGAUAGAUGCAGCAAUCUUGUCCGCUGGCCAACAGAGGAGCUCCGGAGGUUGGAUUGUCUUCGUGUUUUGCGUAUCACUUCUUGUAUGAACCUGGAGGGGAACACUUCAUCGUCUAAUAUGAAAACCCUUCCGCUGUCCUUGGAGGAAUUAAUGAUUGCAUACUGCUAUAGAAUGGUGGCACUGCCUUCGAACCUUGGAAAUCUUGCCAAGCUGGUGCAUCUCCAUGUGAAGUUCUGCAGUGGUCUUAAAGUGCUGCCUGAUGGGAUGUGUGGCCUCACUUCUCUUAGGGAUUUGAGAAUUUGGGGUUGUCCAGCUAUGGAGAAAUUCCCGCAUGGUCUCCUGGAGCGGUUGCCAGCCCUUGAAUUCUUAAUCAUAGGACACUGCCCGGAGUUGCAAAGACGAUGUAGAGAAGGUGGAGAGUAUUUCGACUUGGUGUCCGUUGUCCCACAUAAAUCAGUAUCCACAUGA
rnacentral:rRNA from 1 species